ACGGCGAGUGAAGCGGUAAAAGCUCAAAUUUGAAAUCUGGUACUUUCAGUGCCCGAGUUGUAAUUUGUAGAAUUUGUCUUUGAUUAGGUCCUUGUCUAUGUUCCUUGGAACAGGACGUCAUAGAGGGUGAGAAUCCCGUUUGGCGAGGAUACCUUUUCUCUGUAAGACUUUUUCGAAGAGUCGAGUUGUUUGGGAAUGCAGCUCAAAGUGGGUGGUAAAUUCCAUCUAAAGCUAAAUAUUGGCGAGAGACCGAUAGCGAACAAGUACAGUGAUGGAAAGAUGAAAAGAACUUUGAAAAGAGAGUGAAAAAGUACGUGAAAUUGUUGAAAGGGAAGGGCAUUUGAUCAGACAUGGUGUUUUUUGCAUGCACUCGCCUCUCGUGGGCUUGGGCCUCUCAAAAAUUUCACUGGGCCAACAUCAAUUCUGGCAGCAGGAUAAAUCAUUAAGAAUGUAGCUACUUCGGUAGUGUUAUAGCUUUUUGGAAUACUGUUAGCCGGGAUUGAGGACUGCGCUUCGGCAAGGAUGUUGGCAUAAUGGUUAAAUGCCGCCCGUCUG
rnacentral:rRNA from 1 species